CGUUUGUUUGUUUGUUUGUUGUUUGUUUGUGUUUUGUUUAUUGGUGUUUUUCAGCUUUCAUUUCGUUUCACGGAUUGACACACUUACUUAGACAGGAAGCUCAGACAGGCUUACUUGAAACAGCAAAAGGACAAGAAA
rnacentral:ribozyme from 1 species